AAUGAAAGCAACAGUUUUGCGAUACCUAUUCCAACCUGUGAAGAUCAAGGAAAAUAAUAAAAUCAGCAUACCCGGCAUUGCAGUCCAACAUGAAUGAUCCACACCUAGAAGCAAACUGCUUUUUGACAAUGAGCUGAUGGAGCAAACUUACUCUUUUUAGAUACCUUGUCUCAUAAGAAAUUUAAGACUAAUGUGCUAGUAUGUUAUCUUGUUCUGCACUUACCUGGUUUGGUAAAGAAGAGCACUGCCAGCAGCCAAACUUACAGUUUUCUCUUGCAACUGGCAGAGAAUGUCACCAGCUAUUUAAAUCACUUUUGCUACCAAACAAUGAUAAUGUGUAUUUGAACAAAUAUCUCCAAUGUUAAAUGAUCCCCUUGUUUCAGCCUUGCUUUUAACCUUCUCAAAAGCUCUCCAGCAACAGAAAUCUCUUAAGCUCAUUAUAGUGCACCAGACUGAAAGGUAUGUUAAUAAUUAAUUAAGUUCAGUGGAAAGGUUUGAAAAAUAAUGCAAAUAACUCCAUGAGAGAAAGAAUGCAAUAUGUUUAUUACAGGGAACUGUAACCACUAUGUUUUUAGUAUCGCAGUUCAUUGAAGGCUGUUCCAUUUCUGUUACUAUUUCUCCUCUGUAUUUUAACAGGCAGCCACUGGACUCCUCUGAGAUUGGAGCCAUGGUGACAGGAGUUGUAUAAAUGAAGAAGUUUGCAGAUGACACUAAGCUGGGAGGAAGUGUUGAUCUGCCUGAGGGAAUCCCAGACUAAACAUCAGGGUGCUGAAGAGAAAGCAUUUCAGCAGAGACUCCACAACCAUAUCCAUGCUAAUGUACCAGCCUUCUGGUUCUAUGAAGUCUGUACAUCUGCAAAUUCUAUGGAAGAUACUAGCAGUCCUAAGCUGUGUCUUUGUUAUCCUAUCAGGUCAGGUAUGAGCUCUCUGAGAGUGCUGACCCACUGUAACAAAGCAGGUCUAGGCCCUUCAAGCACCGCAAAAGCUGGCACAGAGAGUUUCCUUCAUCAAUGA
ensembl:lncRNA